CAACAACAAAAUACUGGCACACGCACGCCCCUGUGAACAGGACGCUUUACGUGACUCCCGUAUUACCUGGCCGGCUCUCUGUCGCUCUCUGUCUACCCCCUUCCGUUCCUCUCACAGCCCAUUCGAUCCUUUACGGCCACCCUUGCGGCCCUCGUCCUUCCACGGCUCCGUUUUCUGUUCUGGUUGUGGUGGCCUUCGUCGUUGCUCUGCGGCUCUCUCUUCUCCUCUCCCUCCCGCCUCCGCCCUGUUCUGGACCCCCGCCCCUUCGUUUCUGCUAUUCUUUUCUGUUUCCAAAGAAGCCCAGAAUGGCGAAGGGUCAGUGUGAGGGCCAAGCCUCUCCCGAGGAGAUGAGCGCCGACCCCUACAGAAAUGAUGCGGCCGUGAAACCGGAAAGGUUUGUGCACCCCGAGGCAGCUGCCUUGUUCUCUAAGUGGCCGUGGGUGCGACGGGUGCCGAUGUUUGGCGAGGCUGUCGAGGGCUACGGGCUCAAGGUCAUCGUCGCUCUUGGUGCUACCAACCUGCUCUGCAGAGGCGUCGCGGAUCGUAUCCUGACGGGUCAGACGUACGCCAUGAUGAUUGAUCGCUACGGCAUCGACGUGGCCCGCUACCAGCGCCUUUCCACCAUCGCUACGAUGGGGUGGUCCAUCAAGGCCUUCACAGCGAUGCUCUGCGACGGCUUCGCCUUCCUCGGCUACACGAAGCGCUGGUACAUGUUCAUCUCCUGCGUCGGCGGUGGCGCGUUCGCGCUGAUCUACGGCCUCCUUCCGGCGAAGGAGGCGUCGGCUGAUGUGGCAGCCGCCUUCAUCUUCCUGUCGACGUGGGGCAAGGCCAACGUGGAUAUCCUGUCGGAGGGCCAUUACAGUCGACUGAUGCGCCAGAACCCGAAGCCUGGCCCGUCCAUGGUGAGCUGGAUCUGGUUCUGGAUCAUGGUAGGGGCCAUCAUCGCGACUGUGAUGAACGGCCCGCUCGCGGAUGCCGGGAAGCCGCAGAUCAGCAUCUUCGUGUCUGCCGCGCUGCAGCUCAUCACCUGCGUCUUCUACCUGUUCAACUGGUACGGGGAGAAGAAGAACCGCGUGCUGCGUUCCGAGGACGCGCUGUUUAUUCUGGAGGAGACGCGCAAGGAGCGUGACCGUUUUAGGCUCCCGGCGCACGAUGAACCGGUCACCGGGGUGCCGCAGCAUGGUGGUGCGGCGAAGGGGAAGAGGAGCCCGCAGCGCUCGCACUCGGAUGAGGAUGUGGAGGCAGUGGCAGUCGAACAAGUCAAUAGAGACGAUGUGCACGUCCCGCGCGAGUUGGCGCAGCUACCUUACGAAGGCGAUGAUGACGCGGAUGCCGACGCGGCAGCGGAGGUGUACUACGGCAAGCCGCCGGUGCCGUGCCUGUUCGGGCUGUUCGAAAUGAACAGGGAAGUGAUCACAGAUAACUGGAAGAUCUUCGUGUACAGCGUUGUCAUGACCUGUGCUGUGAUCGCGAUGCUGUGUGCCAACAUCCUGGCCGACACGCUGGGCCUCCUGGUUGCGUGCGUCGUUGUGUCGACCAUCUGCUGCUGCUCCUCAUUCUGGGCCCUGCCGCUGGUGAUUGCGAAGGCCAACGUCUUUGGCUACCUCCAGCAGGCGGUGUACAUCAACAUCGCGAGCCCCCUCAUGACCUUCUACCUGAACUCAUACAACUGUGAGGAGAACUUCCCGAACUUUAGCUACAGUUUCUACAACACCGUCGCGGGUGUCAUCGGCAACUUCGCAGGGCUAGCUGGCGUGUCCGCAUUCAACUGCAUAUUCUCGAAGCGCAGCUACCGCCUCACCUUCUGCGUGACCACGUUCGCGCAGGUUCUGGGCGGAAUGACGGAUAUUGUGAUUGUGAAGCGCUGGAACCUGUACAUCGGCAUCCCUGACCACGCCAUGUACAUCUGGGGUGCGGCUGUAGUGAGCGAGGUGUGCUACAUGCUUGGCUAUAUGCCGAUGGUUGUGCUGCUGUCUCGCCUGUGCCCUCGUGGCUCGGAGAGUGUCGUGUAUGCGCUGAUGGCGGGCUUCGCGAGCCUGGGACGCUCGACUUCCGCGUCUCUCGGUGCGAUCAUCAUGGAGUACGGCCUGCCUGUGUUCAAGACGCGGGACGAUGGCUACCGUUGCGGCGUGGAGAAUCUUGCAUGGCUGCUGUUUGUGUGCAAUGUGUGUGCGCCUCCGCUCGUGCUACCGCUGACUCUGCUGCUGCCGAAGGCGCGCAUCUGCGACGAUAUCGACAUUGACGGCAAGGCGUUGCGCAGGAAGGUAGACGCGGAGUUGAUGGCGGGCGAGGCAGGCGAUUUGCCGUCGCCGCCCUCGUCGGCUGAGAACCCCCGUGCGACGAAGGCACAAGAUGACGAGGCGACGCGAGAGAAGGUCUAGCGCGGAUUGUGAAGGUAUUGCAAAGGGCAUCGUGGUGGCAGCCAGCAGCGCCUGAAAUGAGCGCGCGUGUGUACUCGUAUUGGUUCCGAGCUUCUUCAUCAUGCCCGCUCCUCGUGACGCCGUCGAAAACGACCUCUGCAUGUAAGCAGGCACACACACACACACAGGCACGCAUGUGCGCAAGUCUAAUCGGCUCGCGACGUGGCGCGUGGCUCUCAGCUAUCCGUAUGCAGCCUGCGCGUAACGCGUGCGUUCUUUUCAGGCACCCUUUUGCCCAUAGCCCCCUCCCCCGGUGAAGCGGUAUGGCGGUGCUCCUUUUCGAUGCCGCCUGACCUCGCCGUGCCCUCUCCCGGCGGCCCCACCUUCGGAGCUUGAAAGAAGACUUUUAUUGCCACAGCCCGCUAUUCCCGGCUCCAGCGCGCUCACCCCACCCACACGCAUACACCUCAGCGCGCGGUAUUCCAGGGCCCGUUUGGCUAUGGCGUAGGGGAGGUCAGAGCGAUGCAUCGCUGCUGAUGUCGGCGUCCAGGUCCUCUGUGGCGUUACAUCAGAGGAGGAGGGCCUGUGACAGUGAGUACGCUUGUGCCAUCUCUACAGUGGGGCAGAGUGUCCGCGCAACACGGAGAUACCUCACCUGGCCCUCACACUGGCCACUGGUGUGGGGGGGAGCCUGAGCCACCUCGAGGGGGAGGCGGCGGUGAGGCACCCUGAGAGGGCAGGGACCCGUGCUCGCAGGUGACGGAGCUGGGGCAUUAGCUGUGGCGCACGCGCGCCUGCGAUUGCCGUCGCACCACGGGGGUGGGGCCGAUGACAGGGGGAGGGAGGGGGCACAGAGCGGCGUUGGGGGUUUGUAUUGGCGGGAAAUGGAAACACGCUGAAAGGGCGGCCAAAGCAAAAGAAGGGGGUCGUUUGUUAUUGUUGGUUUCGCUGGUGCCUUUACCAGGAUGUUCCACCGCAAAAAUCCCCACGCCUGCGCGCGAGUGGCCCUCGUCUCCUUUUCCACUCAACAUCCUGCACGCGGUGUGUCUCACUGGCACGUGAAGGUGUUGCUCUGGGCUCAUCGCCUCCGGCGUUAAAUCUUCGUCCUCUUCACCUUUUGUGCGUGCGUGUGUGUGCGUGCGUGUGUGUGCGUGCACCUGUCGACGUUGCCGAGGUGAGGGCUACAUCGUUUUUCUUUUUUCUGUUUUGUUGCCGUUGUUGUUGCUGCCGCGUGGCUUCCCUCUGUGUCUGUUUGUGUGCGUUAGCUCUUGCACUGCUCUGCUGGCUCGUGCUUUCGUCUUUCUUCUUCGCCCUCCUCUCCCUCGUCUCCCUCUCUUUUUCUACGGUACACCUCUUUCGUGAUGAUGGGUGCCCGUGAGCAAGCCUUUUGUCUGCGCCCCCCCCCACAUACACACACCCUCCCUCUCCCCGCUUCUGCCGAUGUGGCGGUGGAUCUUGGACGCUCCUUCGAUUGGCUUUCUGGCCUCCCUCUCUGUCCAUCUCUCCGAACCCACAGAGGCGACACCAUCCCAUCCAAACAGUUCCCUUACCGCCUUCCCUCCUCUUCCUCCUCCCUUCUGUGUGUGUUUGUGUGUGUGUGUGUUCCUUUUUCUUUAGGGGGUCGGGCUUAUCUUCUUUUUUUUAUUUUUUUUUGCUGUGCGAAGCGAACGAAGCAGACGGCGAGCAUACGCGUCCGUGCGCGUACACUCAUGAGCUUGUGUCGUUGAGGACGACUUCUAACCACGUUGAUCGCGUGAGGGUGGUGCUCUGCCGUAAACCUUCCGACCUCGAUUACCGAUACGAUAAGCGAACGACGCAUAGACACACUUCGCAAGCCGUUUUUUUUUUUGACAUGCGUGCGUGCGUCUAUAUGACUUUUGCCUUCUCUUGUCACAGUUGACGAUGACAUGCUACCGAUGUUCUUUUUUUUUAUAAGUUUUGCAUACUCUUCCAAGUACCUCGCCGUCGUUGUGUGGGGAGCGCACCGGCAGUGCAGCGUGCCUGUUUACCCUCUCCUCGCCUCGCUCACCCACCCCCUCUCACGUGUGCAUGCCAUGCAGUGGCGGAGGUUUCUCGCGUGGAAGCUCGAAGCUAUUGUGCGCGUGUGUGUCGAGGUGCACGUGCUGCCAGGAAUACCCUGGCAUCACACACACACGCACACACAAAUAGACACAGGCACCCACACAGCGAGGCAUCGACACGUGCUUACGCGCUUGUUGUUUUUACGGCUGGUGAAGUUGCAUGUUGUGCCUUUCUCUUCUGAGACAUGUACUCAAAUCUUCUAUAUGCCCCCCCCCUUCCUCUUCCUCCCCUCUUCCCCUUCCCCUUUUUUCAGUGCUCUUCUCCGCAUCUUUUCAUUCCGUUGAUCCUUUUGUUUUUUCAUCUGCGUGUAAGCGCGAGCGUGUGUUGACACUUCCUCCUUCCCACCCCCACCUCUCCCCGUGUGUGUGUGUGCCUCUGUGCGUAGAAUCGGUUGUGCGUGUACCGUAAUGCCGAAGACGUGGUCGAGAUGGGUACGGCCUCCACUGAUUGCACUGUUCUCUCUCCCCUUUUGCUUCCCUGCACACUGUGUGUGCGUGUGUGUGCGUGCUUUCUGUUUUCGCUCUUGUUUUUCUUUUUUUUUCUCGGAGGGGGUGGGUGGUGAAAUGGGUAAGGCCUUGCGUGCCCUCACGUCUAUGCAUGAUAGGUUGUUGUAUGCGUGCGUGCGGUGGUGUGCACGCAUGCACACAUAUCAUGCACAUCGUUGCAGCCACUGCGCGCGUGAUGCGAUGCUGGCAUCGAUGCCUUUCGCUUGUUUCCUCUUCGUGUGUUGCCGAUGCCCUUGUAUGUGAAGUAAGGCACAAAGACACGUAUACCCACGUCCUUCUUCCCCUCUCCUUCUAUGAAAUUGGGCUACGGUGCUCCUCACCACCCGGCCUCGCGCUCACGUUGACCCAGCUGCAUGCGUGUCUGUUGUUCUUGCGUUGGCGCCUCUGACGGGCCCCCCUCCCUCUCUCCAUCCACCACCCCUCCAACUGGCAACUCCUCGCCACAGGGAUCCCUCGUGCGAUGCUCCUUUUUCUUGGGUUGCCUCUCUGUAAUCCUCUGAUUUUCCUCUCCUGGGUUGACACACACAUAUAUAUAUAUAUUGAGCGUCUUGUGCGCUGAUGUGCCGGAUGAUGGUGGUUGUCGGGGGGGGGGCUGCUGUUGCGACGACAGAAGCAGCCGAUACCAUUGCUUUCCUCGUUGUUUCCAUUGGACGUGUGUGCUUGACGUGUUGGCGCACCAGUGCACUUGGGCCUGUCGGAGCCAUCGGCGUAGUAUGCUGACCACAC
rnacentral:misc_RNA from 1 species